rnacentral:lncRNA from 1 species
CGUGUUUGCUCUCAUUUGCAGGGAGUGGUUGGCGUAGUUGGUGGUGGCAGAGGUGGCAACGGCAAAGGAGUGGUUGAUGGUGGCAGAGAUUAGGAGGCUAGGGUUUCUUUUUCUGUUUAGGUUGUAGGCUUGUUGGGCCUUAGGGUUUUUUUUAUUAUUUUGGGCCAUUGGGUCUUGUAAAUGGACUUGGUAAUUUGGAUUAUUUAUUUAUUUAUUGGUUUUAUUUAUUUGGUUUUGGGCCCUGGCAAAUUGGGCCUACUACAAUUAUCAUUAUUAUAUAGUAUUAUUAAUUGAAUAAUAAUAAUAAUAAUUUCUUAUUAUUGUAUUCGUUAUAUUAUUGUCAUUUUAUUUUAUUAUUUAUGUUGUUAUUUUGUUAAUGUCAUAAUUU